CCUGGGAAAAUCCUGAAAGAAAGUGUUGAGCUGUGGGAUGUACACCAUUUCACUGAAAUGGAAAUAAAAACAAAAGGACGGACUCUCGCUGCCAAAUAGAUGAGGAAUGUAAAGCUUUCCAAAAAGGACACUAAAAAGAGCAGAGACGCUCAGGACUGCUGACUCUGUGAAGCUGCUCCCUCAUCACCCUUCUGGGGACAUGGAGUGGAGAUUCAAUCCUCUCCUCUUGUUGAAGAGGAUAGAAUGACUUAGAAGAGGUCUGUCUAUGGAUUUUCCUAUCUGGCAGAACACAAACAAAUAAAGUAAGCAAAAUAUGUAGAUGGCAGAGCCUCCCAGCUGGC